rnacentral:rRNA from 1 species
CCUACGGGAGGCAGCAGUGGGGAAUUUUGGACAAUGGGCGCAAGCCUGAUCCAGCCAUGCCGCGUGCAGGAUGAAGGCCUUCGGGUUGUAAACUGCUUUUGUACGGAACGAAAAGACUCUGGUUAAUACCUGGGGUUCAUGACGGUACCGUAAGAAUAAGCACCGGCUAACUACGUGCCAGCAGCCGCGGUAAUACGUAGGGUGCGAGCGUUAAUCGGAAUUACUGGGCGUAAAGCGUGCGCAGGCGGUUAUAUAAGACAGAUGUGAAAUCCCCGGGCUCAACCUGGGAACUGCAUUUGUGACUGUAUAGCUAGAGUACGGUAGAGGGGGAUGGAAUUCCGCGUGUAGCAGUGAAAUGCGUAGAUAUGCGGAGGAACACCGAUGGCGAAGGCAAUCCCCUGGACCUGUACUGACGCUCAUGCACGAAAGCGUGGGGAGCAAACAGGAUUAGAUACCCUGGUAGUCCACGCCCUAAACGAUGUCAACUGGUUGUUGGGUCUUCACUGACUCAGUAACGAAGCUAACGCGUGAAGUUGACCGCCUGGGGAGUACGGCCGCAAGGUUGAAACGUCAAAUGAAUUGACGGCUGAGAGNGCGACGACGACGACGAGGGAGGAGG